rnacentral:rRNA from 1 species
UAUGUAGGGUCGGUAGCUACCAUGCAGUCGAACGGCAGCACAGAGGAGCUUGCUCCUUGGGUGGCGAGUGGCGGACGGGUGAGGAAUACAUCGGAAUCUACUUUUUCGUGGGGGAUAACGUAGGGAAACUUACGCUAAUACCGCAUACGACCUACGGGUGAAAGCAGGGGACCUUCGGGCCUUGCGCGAUUGAAUGAGCCGAUGUCGGAUUAGCUAGUUGGCGGGUAAAGGACCACCGAGGCGACGAUACGUAGCUGGUCUCAGAGGUUGAUCAGUCAUACUGGCACUGAGACACGGUGCAGAGUCCUACCGGAGGCAGCAGUGGGGAAUAUUCGACGAUGGGCGCCAGCCUGAUGCAGUCAUAGCGCGUCGGUGAAGAACGCAUUCGGGUCGUCAAGCCAUGUUGUUCGGAAAGAAAUGCAGCCGGCUAAUACCUAGUCGGGAUGACGGUACCGAGAGAAUAAGCACAGGCUAACUUCGUUCCAGCAGACGCGGUAAUACGAAGGAUGCAAGCGUUACUCGGAAUUACUGGGCGUAAAGCGUGCGUAGGUGGUUGUUUAAGUCUGUUGUGAAAGCCCUGGGCUCAACCUGGGAACUGCAGUGGAAACUGGACGACUAGAGUGUGGUAGAGGGUAGCGGAAUUCCCGGUGUAGCAGUGAAAUGCGUAGAGAUCGGGAGGAACAUCCAUGGCGAAGGCAGCUACCUGGACCAACACUGACACUGAGGCACGAAAGCGUGGGGAGCAAACAGGAUUAGAUACCCUGGUAGUCCACGCCCUAAACGAUGCGAACUGGAUGUUGGGUGCAAUUUGGCACGCAGUAUCGAAGCUAACGCGUUAAGUUCGCCGCCUGGGGAGUACGGUCGCAAGACUGAAACUCUAAGGAAUUGACGGGGGCCCGCACAAGCGGUGGAGUAUGUGGUUUAAUUCGAUGCAACGCGAAAAACCUUACCUCGACUUGACAUGUCGAGAACUUUCCAGAGAUGGAUUGGUGCCUUCGGUAACUCGCACACAGGUGCUGCAUGCCUGUCGUCAGCUCGUGUCGUGAGAUGUUGGGUUCAGUCCGGCUAUCGAGCGCAACCAUUGUUCUUUAGAUGCCAGCACGUUAUGUUAGGAACUCUGAGGAGACCGCCGAUGACUAACACGAGGGAGGUAUGUAUGACGUCUAGUCAUCAUGGGCCCUAUGGGCAGGGCUUACCGCCGGUACUACAAUGUGCAGACUGACGGCUGCAAGGCGGCGACGGUAAGCCCAUCCCCAAAACCCCCAUCUCAGUCCGGAUUGGAGUCUGCAACUCGACUCCAUGAAGUCGGAAUCGCUAGUAAUCGCAGAUCAGCAUUGCUGCGGUGAAUACGUUCCCGGGCCUUGUACACACCGCCCGUCACACCAUGGGAGUUUGUUGCACCAGAAGCAGGUAGCUUAACCUUCGGGAGGGCGCUUGCCACGGUGUGGCCGAUGACUGGGGUGAAGUCGAACAUAGAGACCCCAC